rnacentral:rRNA from 1 species
UACGGAGGGUGCAAACGUUGCUCGGAAUCAUUGGGCGUAAAGCGCACGUAGGCGGCCUGUUAAGUCGGAUGUGAAAGCCCCGGGCUCAACUCGGGAAGUGCAUUCGAAACUGGUCGACUCGAAGGCAGGAGAGGGUAGUGGAAUUCCCGGUGUAGUGGUGAAAUGCGUAGAUAUCGGGAGGAACACCAGUGGCGAAGGCGGGUCUCUGGGCCGAUACUGACGCUGAGGAGCGAAAGCGUGGGGAGCGAACAGG